UCCGUCCUUGGACCUUUAGUGGAGAGAAUAUGCUGCAAGGAUUCGAAUACGUUGGAAAGUAGUCUUGAAAAUAUGAACUCUUCCUCCUUUUGAAGAAACGAACACCACCAAAACACCAAGACUGCCCCAAAAAUCUAAACACUCUUACCUCAGCGGUGCCUUGAAGGUAAUCCAGUAAAGCCCUUCACCCAAUUUACCUCAAUACAUUGAACUUACUUCAUGUGUCCGGAAAACAGUUGUGAAAGCAUUUAGCUCCAUCCAUCGCAAAAACAACUCUUCACUUCUUCGGUAAUUAAUAAACGAACCCAGCAUGAUCAAAGUGAUUGCCAGCUUAAGUGGACUGUUUUGAAGAAUCAAGUUGAGAUAUAGAACCUGAAUAGAGGGUGGCAUCCACAGGCAGGCCUUCACCAAAAUCAGCCAUCCAUCCUCUGACUCCAUCAUCCACCAUUUCCUGAAGAUUCUGCUUGAACCAACUUGCAGUAUCUGGAUGUGUCAAGUCCAACAUUCCUACAUCAAAAGCUGUAUUUGGAACCAUAGACGUGCAUUACCUGCAACCAAAAUGCUGAAAUAGGAGCAUUGUAAGUCUUGAGCUCAUUCCAAAUAUGGCGUACAGAUUCUGUGCCACCCUGCAUGCCAACAACAGCU